rnacentral:rRNA from 1 species
AGAGCGAACGCUGGCGGCAGGCCUAAUACAUGCAAGUCGAACGGACCCUUCGGGGUUAGUGGCGGACGGGUGAGUAACACGUGGGAACGUGCCCUUUGGUUCGGAACAACUCAGGGAAACUUGAGCUAAUACCGAAUGUGCCCCCUCCUUUGAUUAGGGGGGUGGGAAAGAUUUAUCGCCAUUGGAGCGGCCCGCGUCUGAUUAGCUAGUUGGUGGGGUAAAGGCCCACCAAGGCUACGAUCAGUAGCUGGUCUGAGAGGAUGAUCAGCCACACUGGGACUGAGACACGGCCCAGACUCCUACGGGAGGCAGCAGUAGGGAAUCUUGCGCAAUGGGCGAAAGCCUGACGCAGCCAUACCGCGUGAAUGAUGAAGGUCUUAGGAUUGUAAAAUUCUUUCAGCGGGACGAUAAUGACGGUACCCGCAGAAGAACGCCCCGGCUAACUUCGUGCCAGCAGCCGC